UGCCUGCUAAAUCGGGUCGGUACUUCGGUUAUCGUAUCUCUUCUUAGAGGGACUUUGCGUGUCUAACGCAAGGAAGUUUGAGGCAAUAACAGGUCUGUAAUGCCCUUAGAUGUUCUGGGCGGCACGCGCGCUACACUGAUGCAUGCAACGAGUUUUUACCUUGACCGACGGGGCUAGGGUAAUCUUCUGAGGGUGCAUCGUGAUGGGGCUAGAUUAUUGCAAUUAUUAGUCUUCAACGGGAAUGCCUAGUAGGCGCAAGUCAGCCAGGCGCGG
rnacentral:rRNA from 1 species